ACAAUUAUGGUCCUUAUUUUAUCGGUAUAUUUCAAUCAUUACAAUGAGAUAUUUUACAGUAUUUUUAACCGCUUAAAAUAACUAAAUGAAGUUUACAACUGCAGUGUAAGUAACUAUGUAGGUAUGUGCAUCAUCUCAGCUGAUGAAGAAGCGAGAGGGAUUACAUAUGUAAAUGCAAUUGCAAAUGCUCGGUAGGUAGGUAGCUAUUUUACUAAACAGCUUUGGAGCAAGGUACUUAUACCAUUGCACACUUGCAGCACCGACUCCACUAAAUAUCUCAAUUGAUACUCUGGCUCCGAACGGAAAAACUUAAAAGACUCUUCGGCGACACGUCUCAAUUCUCAAAUUACUUCAUUGCAGACCGAUGCCGAGGAGAAAAAUCUACAUGUAUAAUACAAGAAUACUUAAUUGGCCAAUGAAAUACAAGCGUGGUCAAGUAUAUAAUGUAUACUUACAAUUUACAACUAAUGACUUAUAAGAAGCCAUAGUGGCCAAACGCCAUACCUACAUGUACUUACCCAAUAAUAACCCAAUGCUUCUAUGCACACUUACACACAGAUAUAGAUUGUUUUUGAAAGAUCAUUUUUUUGUCUUUUAUUCCACAGCAGCUGACUCAUGUGUAUAAAUGUUGUGUAUCUUGCAGAUAUAGAAUUCGAGUAGCCCACA